rnacentral:rRNA from 1 species
GAUGAACGCUGACAGAAUGCUUAACACAUGCAAGUCGAUUCGAUUUACCUUCGGGUAUUGAGGAUGGCGGACGGGUGAGUAACGCGUAAGGAACUUGCCUCUUGGUCUGGGACAACUGUUGGAAACGACAGCUAAUACCGGAUAUUAUGAGAUUCUCGCAUGGGAAACUUAUGAAAGCUAUAUGCGCCAAGAGAGAGCCUUGCGUUCCAUUAGCUAGUUGGUGGGGUAACGGCCCACCAAGGCGACGAUGGAUAGCCGGCCUGAGAGGGUGAACGGCCACAAGGGGACUGAGACACGGCCCUUACUCCUACGGGAGGCAGCAGUGGGGAAUAUUGGACAAUGGACCAAAAGUCUGAUCCAGCAAUUCUGUGUGCACGAUGAAGGUCUUCGGAUUGUAAAGUGCUUUCAGUUGGGAAGAAGCAAGUGACGGUACCAACAGAAGAAGCGACGGCUAAAUACGUGCCAGCAGCCGCGGUAAUACGUAUGCCGCAAGCGUUAUCCGGAUUUAUUGGGCGUAAAGCGCGUCUAGGCGGAAAAAUAANUCUGAUGUUAAAAUGCGGGGCUCAACUCCAUAUUGCGUUGGAAACUGUUUUUCUAGAGUACUGGAGAGGUGGGCGGAACUACAAGUGUAGAGGUGAAAUUCGUAGAUAUUUGUAGGAAUGCCNAUGGAGAA